rnacentral:rRNA from 1 species
GUGGGGAAUUUUGGACAAUGGGCGAAAGCCUGAUCCAGCAAUGCCGCGUGUGUGAAGAAGGCCUUCGGGUUGUAAAGCACUUUUGGCAGGGAAGAAACAGUGCGUGCUAAUACCAUGCGCGAAUGACGGUACCUGCAGAAUAAGCACCGGCUAACUACGUGCCAGCAGCCGCGGUAAUACGUAGGGUGCAAGCGUUAAUCGGAAUUACUGGGCGUAAAGCGUGCGCAGGCGGCUUUGUAAGACGGAUGUGAAAGCCCCGGGCUCAACCUGGGAAGGACAUUCGUGACUGCAAGGCUAGAGUGUGUAAGAGGGAGGUGGAAUUCCGCGUGUAGCAGUGAAAUGCGUAGAUAUGCGGAGGAACACCGAUGGCGAAGGCAAUCCCCUGGGCCUGCACUGACGCUCAUGCACGAAAGCGUGGGGAGCAAACAGGAUUAGAAACCCGAGUAGUCC